UGCCCACUCCCCUAAGGGAACUUGACAGAUCUUAAAAAAAAAUCAAUUUUAAGCUCACAUGCCCCAGUGGGUGCCAAAGCCACUUCAGAGAGGCUGAGAGAUGGCUGAGUCGACAGGAUUUGACUUCCAGAGGUAGAAAGCUGCUGACCUUUCACUGGGAGGCACCUGAGGAAAGCUCUGGAAGGUUGGCAUCAGUCUGGGUCAGCCACGUGCUAAAAUACCUCCCAGGGCUGAAUGGUGGUGAGCCCAGCUCUUCUGCAGUGGGAAAGCAGGGAAUUCCCGGCCAAAGAGUGGGGUGUGGUGUGAGCUCCAUUGUAUUUGAGCUACUCAGAGGAGCAACAAACUGCACCAUGUGACUCAGCC